GUGAGGAAUAUUGCGCAAUGGAGGAAACUCUGACGCAGCCAUGCCGCGUGCAGGAAGACGGCCCUACGGGUUGUAAACUGCUUUUAUCAGGGAAGAAACCCCGGGACGUGUCCCGGGUUGACGGUACCUGAGGAAUAAGCACCGGCUAACUCCGUGCCAGCAGCCGCGGUAAUACGGAGGGUGCAAGCGUUAUCCGGAUUCAUUGGGUUUAAAGGGUGCGUAGGCGGGGUGGUAAGUCAGUGGUGAAAUCCUGCAGCUUAACUGUAGAAUUGCCAUUGAUACUGCCAUUCUUGAGUGCGCUUGAAGUGGGCGGAAUGUGCCGUGUAGCGGUGAAAUGCUUAGAUAUGGCACAGAACACCAAUUGCGAAGGCAGCUCACUAAGGCGAUACUGACGCUGAGGCACGAAAGCGUGGGGAUCGAACAGGAUUAGAAACCCUGGUAGUCC
rnacentral:rRNA from 1 species